GAUGAACGCUAGCGGCAGGCUUAACACAUGCAAGUCGAGGGGUAUAGUUCUUCGGAAUUAGAGACCGGCGCACGGGUGCGUAACGCGUAUGCAAUCUACCUUUCACAGAGGGAUAGCCCCAGAGAAAUUUGGAUUAAUACCUCAUAGUAUAGCAGUUUCGCAUGAAACCACUAUUAAAGUCACAACGGCAAAAGAUGAGCAUGCGUCCCAUUAGCUAGUUGGUAAGGUAACGGCUUACCAAGGCUACGAUGGGUAGGGGUCCUGAGAGGGAGAUCCCCCACACUGGUACUGAGACACGGCCCAGACUCCUACGGGAGGCAGCAGUGGGGAAUAUUGGACAAUGGGCGAAAGCCUGAUCCAGCAAUGCCGCGUGAGUGAUGAAGGCCUCGGUUGUAAAGCUCUUUACUUCGGACGGACUAA
rnacentral:rRNA from 1 species